rnacentral:rRNA from 1 species
GUCUAUGGCCAUACCACCCUGAAUGCGCCCAAUCUUGUCUGAUCUCGAAAGCUAAGCAGGGUCAGGCCUGGUUAGUACUUGGAUGGGAGGAACUGGAAACAGAUC